UGUUAAGUUUUAUUGCUUCUCCUUCUCCUUCGUUCAUUCCUGUAAUUUUUCAUGUUUUACAAAUUAUUUGAAUUUUGGAUAUUUGAUUUUUGUUUGAAAAAUGUGUUCUGUUGUGUUGUGUGAAAUUGCAUUCUUUGUUUUGGUGUGUUUUAUUGGAUAUGUCAGAGUUAUACAAAUGCAUGAACAUCAUAUUACAAUUUUCCUUUUAAAAUUCUAAGUAGUUGAUGUCCAGUUUACGAUGUUUUUGAGUUUUUCAGCCACUUUGUUUUUUAUUUUCAACCCAAAUAAUUCACCUGCACUAUGUUGUUGCCUCUUUUCUGUAUGCAUUUUUCCGUGCACGCUUCAUGCCGAAAGAACGAGCAAGCCACUUUCUUGGAGGAUUUGAAGGAUCAAAUGGAUGAUUUUGUCAAUGCAUACUUGCUUCAAGACCACCGUGCAAAAGGUAAUUUUGCAUUCGUUUUUAGUUCUUUGGAAUGUCAAAGAGUUGUCUCGGAGAUAAGCAAUGAUACUAGGGAAGUUGGAGCGAAUUACCUUUGUAAAAUAACAAAAUAAAUUAUUUUUUGCAGCAAAUAAAAUUCUUUCCUAUCCUAA